UACGUAGGGGGCAAGCGUUUGUCCGGAUUUAUUGGGCGUAAAGAGCGUGUAGGCGGCUUGGCAAGUCCGCUGUGAAAAUUCGAGGCUUAACCUCGAGACGUCGGUGGAAACUGCCUGGCUAGAGUCCGGAAGAGGAGAGUGGAAUUCCUGGUGUAGCGGUGAAGUGCGCAGAUAUCAGGAAGAACACCCGUGGCUAAGGCGGCUCUCUAGUACGGUACUGACGCUGAGACGCGAAAGCGUGGGGAGCGAACAGG
rnacentral:rRNA from 1 species